rnacentral:misc_RNA from 1 species
GAUGAAGAACGUAGCAAAAUGCGAUAAGUAAUGUGAAUUGCAGAAUUCAGUGAAUCAUCGAAUCUUUGAACGCACAUUGCGCCCGCCAGUAUUCUGGCGGGCAUGCCUGUUCGAGCGUCAUUUCAACCCUCAAGCACAGCUUGGUGUUGGGACUCGCGUUAAUUCGCGUUCCUCAAAUUGAUUGGCGGUCACGUCGAGCUUCCAUAGCGUAGUAGUAAAACCCUCGUUACUGGUAAUCGUCGCGGCCACGCCGUUAAACCCCAACUUCUGAAUGUUGACCUCGGAUCAGGUAGGAAUACCCGCUGAACUUAAACAUAUCAAUAAGCGGAGGA